rnacentral:rRNA from 1 species
CCUACGGGAGGCAGCAGUGAGGAAUAUUGGUCAAUGGACGAGAGUCUGAACCAGCCAAGUAGCGUGAAGGAUGACUGCCCUAUGGUUUGUAAACUUCUUUUAUAAAGGAAUAAAACGAGGCACGUGUGCCUUUUUGCAUGUACUUUAUGAAUAAGGAUCGGCUAACUCCGUGCCAGCAGCCGCGGUAAUACGGAGGAUCCGAGCGUUAUCCGGAGUUAUUGGGUUUAAAGGGAGCGUAGAUGGGUUGUUCAGUCAGUUGUGAAAUUGUGCGGCUCAACCUUAAAAUUGCAAUUGAUACUGGCAGUCUUGAGUACAGUUGAGGUAGGCGGAAUUCGUGGUGUAGCGGUGAAAUGCUUAGAUAUCACGAAGAACCCCGAUUGCGAAGGCAGCUUACUAAACUGUGACUGACAUUGAUGCUCGAAAGUGUGGGUAUCAAACAGGAUUAGAUACCCCAGUAGUC